rnacentral:rRNA from 1 species
GUGCGAAAUAUUACUGUAAACGGCCGCCCUAGCGUGAGGGUGCUAAGGUAGCGAAAUUCCUUGCCUUUUGAUUGUAGGCCUGCAUGAAUGGUUUAACGAGGGUUUAACUGUCUCUAAAUUUUUUAUUGAAAUUGUACUGAAGGUGAAGAUACCUUCAUUUAAAAGUUAGACAAAAAGACCCCGUGCAACUUUGAAAAUUAACUUUAUUCAGAAGUAAAAGAUUUUUAGGUGGGGCGCCUAGAAAGUAAAUCUAACCUUUCUGAAUAAUUAGUUCUUUCCGGAUUCGACCCGAUUAUAUUCGAUCAUAGGAGAAGUUACGCCGGGGAUAACAGGCUAAUCCUUUAGUAGAGCUCGUAUUGGCUAAAGGGAUUGGCACCUCGAUGUUGAAUCAGGGAUGAUAGCUUCAAGGCGUAGAGGCUUUGAGAGUAGGUCUGUUCGACCUUUAAUACCCU